rnacentral:rRNA from 1 species
GACGAACGCUGGCGGCGUGCUUAACACAUGCAAGUCGAACGGAAAGGCCCUGCUUUUGUGGGGUGCUCGAGUGGCGAACGGGUGAGUAACACGUGAGUAACCUGCCCUUGACUUUGGGAUAACUUCAGGAAACUGGGGCUAAUACCGGAUAGGAGCUCCUGCUGCAUGGUGGGGGUUGGAAAGUUUCGGCGGGUGGGGAUGGACUCGCGGCUUAUCAGCUUGUUGGUGGGGUAGUGGCUUACCAAGGCUGUGACGGGUAGCCGGCCUGAGAGGGUGACCGGCCACAUUGGGACUGAGGUACGGCCCAGACUCCUACGGGAGGCAGCAGUGGGGAAUAUUGCACAAUGGGCGGAAGCCUGAUGCAGCAACGCCGCGUGCGGGAUGACGGCCUUCGGGUUGUAAACCGCUUUCGCCUGUGACGAAGCGUGAGUGACGGUAAUGGGUAAAGAAGCACCGGCUAACUACGUG